AUGAAAAUAAUCCAUGCAGCUAUUGACAUCAUACCUGAGCUGCUGAAGUUCCUUGAUUCUUGUCCUUGCCUUCUUCAGGAUUUCAAUACAAUUGCAAGUGGGAUGGGUCUACGUGCAAAGAAAGGCAUCUCUGUUGAUACACCAACCAGAUGGAACUCAACUUGGAAAACGCCUGUAGAAGCAUUGACGUUCAAAUCUGUCCUCACUAGUUAUGACAAUAGAAAGAUGAUAGAGUCUCCAACUGAGGAAGAAUGGGAGAAGGCAAAAGCUAUUUAUGAGUUUCUAAAAGCUUUUGAAGAGCUUACCUUGAUUGUUUCAGCUCACAGGAAGCCAACUUCACAUAAGUUUCUGCGAGUUGUGCUUUCUAUUCGCCAUGCAUUGAAAGAUCUGGGUUGGCAGACCUCUGAUGUGUUGAAGGAAUUGGUGGCAGUGAUGCAAACGAAGCUCGAUAAAUAUUGGGAUCCCGAGGAGAAGGAGAAUGCAGAUCCUAACCAUCGUAGAAAAAUUAAGGGCAUUGAGUUUAACCAUGCACUUGUCAUUGCUACAUUCCUGGAUCCAAGGAGGAAAGAAGAUUACUUGGAUUUCUUCUAUUGCAAGUUGUCUACCAAUGAGGAGCAGAUUACAAAACAAGUAGAGAUUUCUUUAGAAUGGGUGAGAAAGUAUGUCAAGGAAUAUGAGCUGCUUGCAGCGACAAGCACUGCACACUCGACACCUUCUAGUCAAGGCAAUACCACUAUUGGAUCACCUAUUAGAGGGAAAAGGAAGUUGGAAGAAGAGUUUGCCCAGCACAAGUCUCGUCGGAGGCAGGCCUGGUCGGAGGUCACGUGUACACAAAAUCCGAGCUUGAUGCAUACUUGGAAGAAGCAUCCGAGAAGGCCGGUGAUGACUUUGAUGUCUUGGGUUGGUGGAAGAGGCAUGUCGAAAAGUUUCCUAUAUUGGCAUCUAUGGCCCAUGACUUUCUUGCAAUUCCUUUGA
rnacentral:rRNA from 1 species